rnacentral:tRNA from 1 species
AGCAGUUGGUAUCUCAGUGGUAGAGUAGAUGCUCUGUGUGUAUGAUGUCCUGGGUUUAAUCCCCAGGUUGCCG